rnacentral:rRNA from 1 species
AUGAGAGCCGCGACGAUGCCUUCAAGAAGGGAACGAUCUUCACCACCGCCGGUCCAUCCGAAGAUAGAACAGGUUUUCACCUCGGCCAACACUCACCGCCACCGAACGCCACACCCCGGCUACCACGCCGCCCACACGGCCAUGGCGAGCGGGCAGCACCAAGCAACAGGCUCUGCCCAAGAGCACCGCGCUACCACCACCAGGGCCGCCACCCCGGCAUCCAAGACCUUGACACCACCUCACCCGAGACCCGCCGCUACCCCAACCAAAGAGACGAGCGGAAAGGUCCCACCUUUCGCACCCUUGGGCGACCCCCAUCGUCGAGACCUGAUAGGCCGGCCAGAACUGGCAUCCAUCAGCCCGUCCUGCAGCCCCAUCAGCCCGUCCUUCAGCCCCGAGCGCGAGACGAACUCGAUCCUGCAGCACCGUGAGGGGGAUGAGGUCAGUCCUGCUGCACCGUGCGCGAGACGAGCUCGGUCCUGCUGCACCGUGCGCGAGACGAGCUCGGUCCUGCCGCACCGGACGCGAGACGAGCGAUGA